UACGAAGGGGGGCUAGCGUUGUUCGGAAUCACUGGGCGUAAAGCGCACGUAGGCGGAUCUUUAAGUCAGGGGUGAAAUCCCGAGGCUCAACCUCGGAACUGCCUUUGAUACUGGGGAUCUCGAGUCCGGGAGAGGUGAGUGGAACUGCGAAUGUGUAGAGGUAAAUUCGUAGAUAUUCGCAAGAACACCAGUGGCGAAGGCGGCUCACUGGCCCGGAACUGACGCUGAUGCACGAAAGCUAGGGGAGCAAACAGG
rnacentral:rRNA from 1 species